CAAGAGUUUGUUUUUAAAAUAAGUUUGUUUUUAGUUAGUUAUUUAAUGCUCUAAAAACGGUGGUGUGAUGUCGUGAUUCACAGCUGUGAUUGACAGCUAUCUGAGCCGAGGAGCCACUGAAUCUUCGGAGGACUGAGGAGAUUGGAACUUUACAUUUAAUCUCUAAAUUUCUAUAAUUUCACACGGACAUAAUGGGUUGUUCUGCAGUACAUUGUGCUAACCGAUCUGGCAUUUCCAAUCGAUCUUUGAAUUUUUUUCGGUAAGGUCUACAAAACAUCAACCAGGGAGUAUAAAGCAGAAACAUCAACCACCUGUGCAACCUGAAGGAGAACGCAUUUCCUUGACAACCACUGCCUGACAGGCAUGUUGCCUACCACAGGAAGUCAUUUGAGUGCAAGACAAGCCAACUCUUUCCAACACAAACCCCACCACCACUGGAUGGUGCUUAGUCAAUUAGAAUCACCAUAUUGAAAUUUUAGACACAGAAAACUGGAAAUAAAUCAAAUAUUUCUACUGUUUUGAAUGUUGCCAAUGUUCCCAUUUAGGAAACCUGUUUUCAUUUGCCAUUUAUUGUGAAUUGGAGCAAACCUGCAUAACUAACUAAGCCCUGUGAGAUCUGUUGACCAAUCACAUUGCUUUCUUUGUGUCUGGAAUUCCCCCACCCAGUCUUCCUUUAAAAUGUCAUUCAAACAAAUAGACUGACGAGGUUACAGACGAGGUUACCGCAAAGGUUCUCGAAUUUUACCUGGGUCAGUUACCAGAAGACAAUGAGCUGCAGGACCCAGGACUUGCAUCUGCCACUCCCCUCAGGGAUCAGUGGGACGGCGCCACUGCCUCCAUUUAACAGGCUUGUUUUGAUGGAAUAUCCUGUCAGGCUUGGGUUCCACCAUGCCAUUUUAAGAAUGCGGAUAGACGUGUAUGCGUGGGUUUGCACUCUGGUCACAUGAUAUCCUCCCAUUGAAAUUGUGGAGCUCCUCCAAGAUCCCUAUAUUUAAAAUGAACAAUGUGACUUCACCCUGUCUCGGAUGUCACCACCACAAUCCUUUGUCAAAAUGAGGUUCAAGUGUUCAACAGGUUGUUUGGUUUGUGGUGGGGG
ensembl:lncRNA